rfam:Actinotalea fermentans ATCC 43279 = JCM 9966 = DSM 3133 contig11, whole genome shotgun sequence.
GGGGGUGAUCGGUUUCGACGAUGGUCGUCGAUCCAGGUGAAGCGGGCCGAGGAUGUUGGGUUAUCUCGUUAACGCUCCCAGCAAACCUAUAGGUGCCGAUUCCAAGCGCACCGACUUCGCCCUCGCCGCCUGAGCGAGGCUUCGAAGUCCGUCAGCCCGAGCUCGCUCUCGUCUCGGUUCCUGGCGUCAUCUAGAGAGCCACUGCUCGUAGCCCUCGUCAUCGGGGCUGCGGGGACACUCAGAUGACUGGGCCCGUCCGCGACAUGUCUGCGUGAUCGCGGGGGCCAAGAAAAGCGCAGCAGACUGCGCCCGGAGAAGCCCUGGUUCACUGCCGUCGGACGCGGGUUCGAUUCCCGCCACCUCCACCC